GUCCGGGUGGGGCGUGAGCGUUCAAACGGGAGCGCAGUACGAACCCGCAUCUCAGCCAGGUCUGCUUCCUGACAGAAACCGAGGUUUAUACUGGAAACUUUUCAAGUAGCUUUGAAAUAAAUAGAAAAAGGAGCCUUUUUUUUCCCUGAAAUUAGCACAUGAUACCAGGUAUUCCUUCAUGAAGUUUCUCUUCAGGGAACAGAAGUUCAAACUAUUCAGCACCCCUUCUUUUACAUGACCUACUUUAAACCUGAUACAAUGCAGCGUGCUCAGAGAGGACAAUGUUAUUGUUGUUGGCUCUAACACGUCAAAACAACAGUCUUGAAAACUUGUGUCUAAAGAUGUGAUGUCACUAUGUUGACAGCAGAGCGGAGAUGAAGCAUCCUGGUAAGUUUCUCAUUUUGUCACUGUUCUGCUUACAAAGAAGCAAAAUUGCUUCUGACAGUGUCUUGGUGACACCAGGUAAAGUAUUUGCAGUUAGGCCAGUAGUCAUAUACAGGAAGAAGACCAGAACUCACUCACCCAGCUGGCAAAGGGGUUCUCUGACUACGCAGCACUCUUUCACAGGAAGCAGCCUAGGUCCAAGAGAUGCUCUCCCUUUAGUGACUGGCCCAAGAUGGCUCCACUCUGGGUCCACCCCUUCUGGUCUGAUGGAGAGCGCAGUGCAAAUGUUUUCCCUGUGCUCCCUAGGCCAGCCACAUCCCUUUCCAGAUGCUCAGUCACCAAUUCAAGUCUUGACCUAACAGUUCCCCUACAGUUACAGUUAUCUGUUUUUUUGAUUGGAAAUGCAUUUACAGUGUUCUUUAGUGUUCCAUUAUACUAUACCUUUGUUGUGAUUUAGAUUAAGACUGCUUAAAAGUGUUCUAUUAUAGUGAAAAAAGAGAUUUUUUUUUUCCUAUUUAGUAUUUAAGCCCAUUUUGACCUUAUAAAUUAAACGUGUUUUCUAACGAAAAACAAUAUGGCAAGUUGAGAAAAGUUUCUCGGUGAAGACCAAUGUCUUGUUAAAAGUAAUUUUUCCAGUGAACUGAUGUCUGUUUGCUCACUAACCACGUUUCUUCCCAUGUAUGAUCUGUGCAAUAAACCUCUAGAUAUUCUC
ensembl:lncRNA